rnacentral:rRNA from 1 species
UACGUAGGGGGCAAGCGUUGUCCGGAAUCAUUGGGCGUAAAGAGCGUGUAGGCGGCUCGGUAAGUCCGCUGUGAAAGUCCAGGGCUCAACCCUGGAAUGCCGGUGGAAACUGUCGAGCUAGAGUCCGGAAGAGGGGAGUGGAAUUCCUGGUGUAGCGGUGAAAUGCGCAGAUAUCAGGAAGAACACCCGUGGCUAAGGCGGCUCUCUAGUACGGUACUGACGCUGAGACGCGAAAGCGUGGGGAGCGAACAGG